UACGGGGGAGCAAGCGUUGUUCGGAUUACUGGCGUAAAGGGCGCGGUAGGCGGUCGUGACAAGUCACUUGUGAAAUCUCCGGGCUUAACUCGGAACGGUCAAGUGAUACUGUCGGACUAGAGUACAGAAGGGGCAACUGGAAUUCUCGGUGUAGCGGUGAAAUGCGUAGAUAUCGAGAGGAACACCUGCGGCGAAGGCAGGUCUCUGGGCUAUAACUGACGCUCGAUGACACGAAAGCGUGGGGAGCAAACAGG
rnacentral:rRNA from 1 species